GGUUGGGCGAUGAAGAGGGAUAGUAGUUGCAGAUGAAGUUUUACAGAGAGAGGAUUCGUAGGCUGAGAGAUUCUUGUACGGAGCUGUGAUGAACCUGCCUUGGAGCCGCUGUAUGAAAGUACGGCGUGGCACUAGCGUUAAUGGUGGAGAAGAGAGAGGACUGCGUAAGAUAUUGCAGUUAACGAGGGUGGUACCGCCGAGGUUUUCGGUCCCUUUU
rnacentral:ncRNA from 1 species